rnacentral:rRNA from 1 species
GGAGUUUGGGCCGUGUCUCAGUCCCAAUGUGGCCGAUCACUCUCUCAAGUCGGCUACUGAUCGUUGCCUUGGUAGGCCGUUACCCCGCCGGCAAGCUAAUCAGACGCAUCCCCAUCCCUUACCGAUGAAUCUUUGCUCCUCGUUAGAUGCCUGCAAAGGAGAACAUAGAGUAUUAAUCCGACUUUCGCCGGGCUAUCCUCUAGUAAGGGGAAGGUUGGAUACGCGUUACUCACCCGUGCGCCGGUCGCCAUCAAAGGAAGCAAGCUUCCUUCAUGCUGCCCCACGACUUGCAUGUGUUAAGCCUGUAGCUAGCGUUCAUC